GAGUUUGAUCAUGGCUCAGAUUGAACGCUGGCGGCAUGCCUUACACAUGCAAGUCGAACGGCAGCAUGAUCUAGCUUGCUAGAUUGAUGGCGAGUGGCGAACGGGUGAGUAAUACAUCGGAACGUGCCCUGUAGUGGGGGAUAACUAGUCGAAAGAUUAGCUAAUACCGCAUACGACCUGAGGGUGAAAGUGGGGGACCGCAAGGCCUCAUGCUAUAGGAGCGGCCGAUGUYUGAUUAGCUAGUUGGUGGGGUAAAGGCCCACCAAGGCGACGAUCAGUAGCUGGUYUGAGAGGACGAUCAGCCACACUGGGACUGAGACACGGCCCAGACUCCUACGGGAGGCAGCAGUGGGGAAUUUUGGACAAUGGGCGAAAGCCUGAUCCAGCAAUGCCGCGUGUGUGAAGAAGGCCUUCGGGUUGUAAAGCACUUUUGUCCGGAAAGAAAUGGCUCUGGUUAAUACCUGGGGUCGAUGACG
rnacentral:rRNA from 1 species